rnacentral:tRNA from 1 species
AUUGGCUUGGCAGAUUUAAUGCCGUUGAUUUAGGUUCAACUCAUAACAUGUAAAUGUUAGUCGGUG